rnacentral:rRNA from 1 species
GACGGAAGGUGCAAGCGUUGCUCGGAAUCACUGGGCGUAAAGGGUGCGUAGGCGGACCUGCAAGUCGGGGGUGAAAGCCCGAGGCUCAACCUCGGAACUGCCUUCGAUACUGCGGGUCUCGAGUCCGGGAGAGGUGAGUGGAAUUCCUAGUGUAGAGGUGAAAUUCGUAGAUAUUAGGAAGAACACCAGUGGCGAAGGCGGCUCACUGGCCCGGUACUGACGCUGAGGCGCGAAAGCGUGGGGAGCAAACAGGG